GUGCGAGACCGAUAGCGAACAAGUACCGUGAGGAAAAGAUGAAAAGAACUUUGAAAAGAGAGUUAAAGAGUACCUGAAACUGCUGAAAGGGAAGCGAAUCGUAUCCAGUGUCUAUAAUCUGAGGCAUAUUUCAUUGGCGGCAGUGUGCGUGCUUUUGCGUCGGAAGCGGCUUUUGUUGCUCUGUGCUUUUGCUGUGCGUGCUGUUGCUGGUGCCCUGUGUUGCGGUGGGACGUCAGAGUCAGUUCGUAUGCUGCGGGAAAUGGCCGCCGAGGAGGUAGGUCAGGACUUCGGUCUUGGCUGUUAUAUCUUGGUGGUUUGUUGUCGUGGUUGGGACUGAGGUGCCUACAAUGUGCUUUUGAGUGUGCCGGGUUCUCAUUUGGUGGACUGUUUGGAUAGCUUGCUAUGCUUGUGGUUUUUUCAUCGAGUGAUUGAGUCUGGUGGUAACUUGUUGCUGUUCGGGACUUUGA
rnacentral:rRNA from 2 species